rnacentral:rRNA from 1 species
UACGUAAGGGGCGAGCGUUAUCCGGAUUUACUGGGCAUAAAGGGCGCGUAGGUGGUUUUUUAAGUCAGGUGUUAAAAGCAACAGCUCAACUGUUGUCCGCACUUGAAACUGAGAAACUAGAGAUCAGGAGAGGAAAGCGGAACUCACAGUGUAGCGGUGAAAUGCGUAGAUAUUGUGAGGAACACCAGUUGCGAAAGCGGCUUUCUGGACUGAAUCUGACACUGAGGCGCGAAAGCGUGGGGAGCAAACAGGAUUAGAUACCCUGGUAGUCCACGCCUUAAACGGUGUUCACUAGGUGUAGGAGGUAUCGACCCCUUCUGUGCCACAGAUAAUUCGUUAAGUGAACCGCCUGGGAAGUACGACCGCAAGGUUA